CAUUAGUCACAAAGUUAUCCUAAGGCACUUACAAUUUAAGUGGAGAACUAAAACUAACACAUGGAACAAUCAAAGGACAAUACAUCCUAGCACAUAAUUAGGUUCUAAAUUCCUUGUUACAGAUGAAAUUAUGAGGGCAGCAGGGAGGAACAGCAGCGUGAGCCGGAGGAAUCAGGGAAGACUUCUACGAGAUAUGAGACUUGGGCUGGCCCCUGGAAGGACAACAGGGAAGAGCAAUAAUCUCUAUAAAGACAAGGGCAGAGAUGAGUCUGUUCAUGGCCUUGGAAGGUGGUAUUUUACAACAGGCAUAUGGUGCUGGCUUCGAUCAGAGAUCAUUUCCACUUGUGUGCCGCUUCUCAUGAUAAAUAAGAAACCCAUCAGAGAAGUAUCCUCGUGGGAAAACAGCCCAAUGCAAACCCUUGAUGGAUUACAUAAGAAUGGCUCUCCAUGAAAAUAAGUUCACCACAAAAUUUGAGCUAUCGUUAUAACAUCCUGAUUAUCUCAGAAUAAUAACUGUUUGGAGCCAUUGUGAUAUUCAUAAAGUAUCAGAGCUUUAACAAAAUGAAAACAUGCCAGAGAAUAAAUACCCUUCACAUUGUAUGGAACUACUCGAUUUGAAUAAAAUAAACCUUAAUUAAG
rnacentral:lncRNA from 1 species